AACUCAAUGUUCAGAAACAUAAUUCUGAAUAUUUAUUCUUUUCACUUUCAAGUCAGACUAGUCAUUGUUAUUCAGUAUCACACAGUUUGUUUCCCUUAUCAGGAUCCUCUGGCUGCAUCUCACUGUCAGAAGGUUGCAUCAAUUAAACACUUUUCUGACCUUAUUACUGGAGGCGGGAUAGAAGAGCGUUCGAUACCUUCUCCGGGGAUUUACACCCUCAAGCUCCCAAUUAUUUGCACGUACUCGCUGGGUUAGACUGGGCGGUCGUUUAUUUGUUAAUGUAUCAAAAUAGAAAUGUAAUAACAUGAAGUAUAGAGCGUGUGCUGCACGUAGCACGAUGCUGCAGCCCCCUUGCACCACUGGGGGGUCAGAGUGCGAGAUGCUGCAGUAAUAAGUCCAGCUUUACAGUCAGUGGCACCAACCAAACACAUGAAAGGAGAAUCGUACUUCACACUUUAAAAGCCUUGAUUAAAGAAAGCCCUCUGACUUCAUUUCAAAGUGCAUGAAGACAUUUUGAAGACCUAAAUAAAAAACAAAACAAAUGUUUUCACUUAUCAGAGACUCCUGUGAUAAUAAUCUGUGUUAACGUGGCCAACACUUUAUGUUGUUUUAAAGUAACAGACAAUAGCGGUUGACCAUUGUUGGUCCUGGCCUGAAUAUUGUUUUCCCUCUUUCUCAUUGCAGGUGUCGUGAGCACUGGUCAGUUUGAGUUCCUCUUGAACUUAAAGCUGGGGAAACCAUAAGCGAAUGAACAACUGGAAUGAGCGCUGUGUGUUUGAUGCAAACUUGUUACAUGAUAUGUAUGAUGCAUACAUAUUGCUGCAUGAAUAAUGUUUAUUUUCUUUCAUCUUUAAGUCUUUUAUUAUUAGUGUAAAGUGCCACCGUCAAUGUUUAAAAAGAGCUCUGUGAGCCUAUUUCAGGCAGAAGUGAUGGAUUUGAAAAAAUACGUGUUUUGUAAUUUUGUACAUUGUGUACAAAAUGUGAUGAAUAGAAGCACGGUAGACAAACGCAUGCAGAGGCUGUCCCAGCACCACGUAAUAUUUAUAACCGACUAAUGGGAGGAAAAACACCAAUUUACUUACUCGCUCUAAUAACUUGGGACCAUUAAGCUUGUCUUUUGAUGUGAUGUCCAGGUAUUGUUUUGAUCGCCGUCAGCAUGAACCUCAUGCACACAGCAAAUUAUUCUACAAAAUUAAACUGAGAAAAAAAGGGCACCAUGUUCAUUCACAUUUCAGUUUAUUGGUUUAAAUAAAGUUUUGUACAUUAACCUCUCCCUCU
ensembl:lncRNA